UACGUAGGUGACCAGCGUUGUCCGGAUUUACUGGGCGUAAAGAGCGCGCAGGCGGUCGUUCAAGUCGAGUGUGAAAGCCCCCGGCUCAACUGGGGAGGGUCACUUGAUACUGAUCGACUCGAAGGCAGGAGAGGGAAGCGGAAUUCCCGGUGUAGUGGUGAAAUGCGUAGAUAUCGGGAGGAACACCAGUGGCGAAGGCGGCUUCCUGGCCUGCUCUUGACGCUGAGGCGCGAAAGCUAGGGGAGCAAACGGG
rnacentral:rRNA from 1 species